rnacentral:rRNA from 1 species
GACGAACGCUGGCGGCGUGCUUAACACAUGCAAGUCGAACGGAAAGGCCCUGCUUUUGUGGGGUGCUCGAGUGGCGAACGGGUGAGUAACACGUGAGUAACCUGCCUCUGACUUUGGGAUAACUUCAGGAAACUGGGGCUAAUACCGGAUAGGAGCUCCUGCUGCAUGGUGGGGGUUGGAAAGUUUCGGCGGUUGGGGAUGGACUCGCGGCUUAUCAGCUUGUUGGUGGGGUAGUGGCUUACCAAGGCUUUGACGGGUAGCCGGCCUGAGAGGGUGACCGGCCACAUUGGGACUGAGAUACGGCCCAGACUCCUACGGGAGGCAGCAGUGGGGAAUAUGGCACAAUGGGCGGAAGCCUGAUGCAGCAACGCCGCGUGCGGGAUGACGGCCUUCGGGUUGUAAACCGCUUUCGCCUGUGACGAAGCGUGAGUGACGGUAAUGGGUAAAGAAGCACCGGCUAACUACGUG